AGUGAACGCUGGCGGUAGGCCUAACACAUGCAAGUCGAACGGCAGCACAGUAAGAGCUUGCUCUUACGGGUGGCGGGAGGCGGACGGGUGAGGAAAACAUCGGGAUCUACUCUUUCGGGGGGGAUAACGUAGGGAAGGUUAAGAUAGUAUAGCAUACGCCGUACGGUGGAAAGGAGGGGAACUUCGGACCUUGUGCGAUUGAAUGAGCCGAUGUCGGAUUAGCUGGUUGGGGGGGUAAAGGCCCACCAAGGCGACGAUCGGCAGCUGGUGUGAGAGGUUGGUCAGCCACACUGGAACUGGGACACGGACCAGACUCCUACGGGAGGCAGCAGUGGGCAAUAUUGGACAAUGGGCGCAAGCCUGAUCCAGCCGUACCGCGUGGGUGAAGAAGGCCUUCGGGUUGUAAAGCCCUUUUGUUGGGAAAGAAAAGCAGCAGGUUAAUACCCCGCUGUUCUGACGGUACCCAAAGAAUAAGCACCGGCUAACUUCGUG
rnacentral:rRNA from 1 species